AGAGUUUGAUCCUGGCUCAGGAUGAACGCUAGCGGCAGGCCUAACACAUGCAAGUCGAGGGGUAGAGGAAGCUUGCUUCCUUGAGACCGGCGCACGGGUGCGUAACGCGUAUGCAAUCUACCUUAUACAAAGGGAUAGCCCAGAGAAAUUUGGAUUAAUACCUUAUAGUAUGUUUGAAUGGCAUCAUUUAAACAUUAAAGUUCCAACGGUAUAAGAUGAGCAUGCGUCCCAUUAGUUAGUUGGUAAGGUAACGGCUUACCAAGACAAUGAUGGGUAGGGGUCCUGAGAGGGAGAUCCCCCACACUGGUACUGAGACACGGACCAGACUCCUACGGGAGGCAGCAGUGAGGAAUAUUGGUCAAUGGGCGCAAGCCUGAACCAGCCAUGCCGCGUGCAGGAUGACGGUCCUAUGGAUUGUAAACUGCUUUUAUACAGGAAGAAACACUCCCUCGUGAGGGAGCUUGACGGUACUGUAGGAAUAAGGAUCGGCUAACUCCGUGCCAGCAGCCGCGGUAAUACGGAGGAUCCAAGCGUUAUCCGGAAUCAUUGGGUUUAAAGGGUCCGUAGGCGGUUUAAUAAGUCAGUGGUGAAAGCCUAUCGCUUAACGAUAGAACGGCCAUUGAUACUGUUAGACUUGAAUUAGUGGGAAGUAACUAGAAUAUGUAGUGUAGCGGUGAAAUGCUUAGAUAUUACAUGGAAUACCAAUUGCGAAGGCAGGUUACUAUCACUAUAUUGACGCUGAUGGACGAAAGCGUGGGGAGCGAACAGGAUUAGAUACCCUGGUAGUCCACGCCGUAAAC
rnacentral:rRNA from 1 species